GGGUCAGUAGGUUGGUCGUGCCACCAGUACGUACUGGUCUCACUGAUUCCUCCUUCCUGAAGAACCGUAAUGCCAUUAAUUUGGUGUUGCGGGGAAACAGGACUGUUACUUUGAAAAAAUUAGAGUGUUUAAAGCAAGCUAACGCUUGAAUACAUUAGCAUGGAAUAAUGGAAUAGGACGAUCGAUCCUAUUUUGUUGGUUUCUAGGAUUGACGUA
rnacentral:rRNA from 1 species